AUUAGUAACUUCCUUUUCCAAUCAGAUCCCGAAGAAUUAACAUCAAGUUGUUCAAACAAAAAUUUCUUUAUUUCGAGAACAUCAUAUACUUCUUCUGUAAAUUUUUAUAAUUGUUUAUAAAAGCAACAAUCUUUUUAUCAGAUUUGAGCCCGUCACGACCAAUACCAUAAAUCAAAACUGAAGAAUAUAUCUGGGUACUUUCAACACUGAAGGCGAUGUAGAACAUAAUUUGAUCCUGGUCAAAAACUCUAUAAGAACCAAACACAUCGAUUAUCAAAACGUGCGCAUAUUGUUCAAAAAAUUGUAACUAUUUCCGAUGAAUCACCACAGAGCGUAUUCAUACCGUGUGGGUUAUGUCUAACGAAGGAUCCGCCAUCCUCAAACAUGCUGUAGAGAAACCAUCCAUAACCAUAUUUUUAUAAAUACAACAUCAACGUAGAACGCUGUCCCAUGAUCAUGUUUGGUAUCUGACCAACGUACUGCAACUGUUUUUAUCAUUAUGCACAUCAAUAUAAGUAUCCAUUAACUAUCAAAAUCUUCAUUAUAUAUCAAAAAUUGUUGUUCAGCAGCAGCCAUCAACACCGGAAGGCCUUCUUCAAGUCGUGUAAUUGGUGUUUUGAUUUAUGGUAUUGGUCGUGGUGGGCUCACUGCCAUUGGAGACACAAUGGUUUCGGACGGGUCUUGAAAGAAAUUAUCAGGCUACCAUGAGGCAGUGUAAGCCAGGACUUGUAGAUCCUUCUUGUGUGACGUGGACUUUUAAACAAUUAGUGGAA